rnacentral:rRNA from 1 species
UCCUGGCUUAGGAUGAACGCUAGCGGCAGGCUUAACACAUGCAAGUCGAGGGGCAUCGGGAGUAGCAAUACUUGCCGGCGACCGGCGCAAGGGUGCGUAACGCGUGAGCAACAUGCCCGUAUCAGGGGGAUAAUCCAUGGAAACGUGGUCUAAUACCCCAUAGUAAUUAUGUAAGGCAUCUUAUAUAAUUUAAAGCUUUGGUGGAUACGGAUUGGCUCGCGUGACAUUAGCUGGAUGGUAAGGUAACGGCUUACCAUGGCUACGAUGUCUAGGGGUUCUGAGAGGAAGGUCCCCCACACUGGAACUGAGACACGGUCCAGACUCCUACGGGAGGCAGCAGUGAGGAAUAUUGGACAAUGGAUGGAAAUCUGAUCCAGCCAUGCCGCGUGCCAGGAAGACGGCCCUAUGGGUUGUAAACUGCUUUUGUAUGGGAGCAAUAAGGGCUACGUGUAGUCCGAUGAGAGUACCAUACGAAUAAGCACCGGCUAACUCCGUGCCAGCCGCUGC